rnacentral:misc_RNA from 1 species
UUUCCGUAGGUGAACCUGCGGAAGGAUCAUUCAUAAUAAAGUGUUUUAUGGCACUUUUUAAAAAUCCAUAUCCACCUUGUGUGCAAUGUUAGAUCUCGUCAAUCUUGGCGAGAUUUUUAUACAUCAACUCAUUCUUUAUCUAAUUUGUCUGAAAAAUAUUAUGAAUACUUAAUUCAAAAUACAACUUUCAACAACGGAUCUCUUGGCUCUC